AUUGAACGCUGGCGGCAGGCCUAACACAUGCAAGUCGAGCGGAUGACGGGAGCUUGCUCCUUGAUUCAGCGGCGGACGGGUGAGUAAUGCCUAGGAAUCUGCCUGGUAGUGGGGGACAACGUUUCGAAAGGAACGCUAAUACCGCAUACGUCCUACGGGAGAAAGCAGGGGACCUUCGGGCCUUGCGCUAUCAGAUGAGCCUAGGUCGGAUUAGCUAGUUGGUGGGGUAAUGGCUCACCAAGGCGACGAUCCGUAACUGGUCUGAGAGGAUGAUCAGUCACACUGGAACUGAGACACGGUCCAGACUCCUACGGGAGGCAGCGGUGGGGAAUAUUGGACAAUGGGCAAAAGCCUGAUCCAGCCAUGCCGCGUGUGUGAAGAAGGUCUUCGGAUUGUAAAGCACUUUAAGUCGGGAGGAAGGGCAGUAAGUUAAUACCUUGCUGUUUUGACGUUACCGACAGAAUAAGCACCGGCUAACUCUGUGCCAGCCGCCGCGGUAA
rnacentral:rRNA from 1 species